AUUUAAAGAUUUCUCUAUGUUUGUGUCUUCCAGUGUGACAUUCCAAUCAUACGGAGAUGGUGGACUCCAGAUGGUUUUCUCUGAAAGUGCAGAAACCCUACAAGAGGCCCUUCCAAUUGGAUAACAGGCUACGCUUGUGAGGAGAUCCCAGUAAUCUCACAGAAGUUGUAAAAUGGCUCCAUUAAACAGACAUCUGCUCAGGGGGCCAGUGGAAGAGCCUCUUUUCCUUAUAAUG